AUCGUUCAAUUUAGGAUCAUUCCUAAAUCGGAAGUAAGUCAAAAGACUGAAGGAACGCAUG
ncrna:unclassified sequences Glutamine riboswitch